rnacentral:rRNA from 1 species
GACGAACGCUGGCGGCGUGCUUAACACAUGCAAGUCGAACGGAAAGGCCUCUUUCGGGGGGUACUCGAGUGGCGAACGGGUGAGUAACACGUGAGUAACCUGCCCUUGACUUUGGGAUAACUUCAGGAAACUGGGGCUAAUACCGGAUAGGAGCUCCUGCUGCAUGGUGGGGGUUGGAAAGUUUCGGCGGUUGGGGAUGGACUCGCGGCUUAUCAGCUUGUUGGUGGGGUAGUGGCUUACCAAGGCUUUGACGGGUAGCCGGCCUGGGAGGGUGACCGGCCACAGUGGGACUGAGAUACGGCCCAGACUCCGACGGGAGGCAGAAGUGGGGAAUAUUGCACAAUGGGUGGAAGCCUGAUGCAGCAACGCCGUGUGCGGGAUGACGGCCUUCGGGUUGUAAACCGCUUUCGCUCAUGACGAAGCUUUGUGUGACGGUAGUGGGUAAAGAAGCACCGGCUAACUACGUG